CAGGACUCCUGAGCAAAGGAGCCAUAAGAAAGAGGAGAUCUCAGCGGAAGAGAUGGAAGCUGAUGGCCCAGAGGUUGUAUGAUGGGUGACAGCCACAGUCCCUCUUGAUGAGCUGUCAUGGAAAUUGGACUAAACACACCCCUCUCCUGGACUAAACAAGACCCAUUCCCUUCCCAGGUUUUAGAGAGAUUGGAAACAUUUCCCAAAGCUGAUCAGCAAGCAAACAGCAGAGUCAGGACUGCAUUUCUGGCAUCUGACUCUGAAUCCACACUCUUGACACACAGACCACCUCCAGCAGCCUACCCUUGGGAAGGCCUGACACAUGCUUUAUAAAGAUUGGCACCACUUGAAGGAAUUUUUGUUGGAAAAGAUGUUGCUGUGCAUAUUUGAUUUCAUCAUCAUCAUUCAGUUUCUAAAUUUUGGUGAUUUUUUUUUGAUGAAAUAAAAUUAAAAGAAAAAUAU
ensembl:lncRNA